rnacentral:rRNA from 1 species
ACGCUGGCGGCGUGCUUAACACAUGCAAGUCGAACGCUGAAGCUCAGCUUGCUGGGUGGAUGAGUGGCGAACGGGUGAGUAACACGUGAGUAACCUGCCCUCUUCUUUGGGAUAACGCCCGGAAACGGGUGCUAAUACUGGAUAUUCACUGAUCUUCGCAUGGGGGUUGGUGGAAAGGUUUUUUCUGGUGGGGGAUGGGCUCGCGGCCUAUCAGCUUGUUGGUGGGGUGAUGGCCUACCAAGGCUUUGACGGGUAGCCGGCCUGAGAGGGUGACCGGUCACAUUGGGACUGAGAUACGGCCCAGACUCCUACGGGAGGCAGCAGUGGGGAAUAUUGCACAAUGGGCGAAAGCCUGAUGCAGCGACGCCGCGUGAGGGAUGGAGGCCUUCGGGUUGUAAACCUCUUUCGCUCAUGGUCAAGCCGCAGCUUUGGGUUGUGGUGAGGGUAGUGGGUAAAGAAGCGCCGGCUAACUACGUGCCAGCAGCCGCGGUAAUACGUAGGGCGCGAGCGUUGUCCGGAAUUAUUGGGCGUAAAGGGCUUGUAGGCGGUUGGUCGCGUCUGCCGUGAAAUCCUCUGGCUUAACUGGGGGCGUGCGGUGGGUACGGGCUGACUUGAGUGCGGUAGGGGAGACUGGAACUCCUGGUGUAGCGGUGGAAUGCGCAGAUAUCAGGAAGAACACCGGUGGCGAAGGCGGGUCUCUGGGCCGUUACUGACGCUGAGGAGCGAAAGCGUGGGGAGCGAACAGGAUUAGAUACCCUGGUAGUCCACGCCGUAAACGUUGGGCACUAGGUGUGGGGGCCACCCGUGGUUUCUGCGCCGUAGCUAACGCUUUAAGUGCCCCGCCUGGGGAGUACGGCCGGUAGGCUAAAACUCAAAGGAAUUGACGGGGGCCCGCACA